UAUUGAGAGUUUGAUCCUGGCUCAGGAUGAAUGCUGGCGGCGUGUCUAAGGCAUGCAAGUCGAAUGCUUUUAUACUCUUUUCUGCGUAAGAGCUAUGGAGAAAGAAUGUUAAAUAAAAUAAUGUUUUUUCUCCGAAAUUCAUACGCGGUAAUGAGUAUAAAUGCAUGGCAAACGGGAGAGUAACACAUUGAUAACCUACCCUGAAGACGAGGAUAACCUUGCGAAAGCGAGAAUAAUACUCGAUGGUAUUAAAAAACUUAUGUUUUUUAAUUAAAGCUCCGGCGCUUCGGGAGGGGUCUAUGUCCUAUCAGCUUGUUGGUGAGGUAAUGGCUCACCAAGGCGACGACGGGUACCGGGUGUGAGAGCAUGACCCGGCUCACUGGGACUGAGACACUGCCCAGACUCCUACGGGAGGCUGCAGUCAAGAAUAUUCCUCAAUGGGCGAAAGCCUGAAGGAGCGACGCCGCGUGUACGAAGAAGCCUUUCGGGGUGUAAAGUACUUUUAUUAGGGAUGAAACAAUGACAGUACCUAAUGAAUAAGGGGCUGCUAACCUCGUGCCAGCAGCAGCGGUAAUACGAGGGCCCCAAGCAUUAUCCGGAUUUAUUGGGCGUAAAGCGUCCGUAGACGGUUUUUCGCAUCUCCUGUUAAAUCCUCUGGCUCAACCAGGGGGCUGCGGGAGAGAUGGAUAAACUAGAGACUGGAAGAGGCAAGCGGAAUUGCUGGUGUAGGGGUUAAAUCCGUUAAUAUCAGCAGGAACACUCAAUGCGAAGGCAACUUGCUGGGACAGUUCUGACGUUCAGGGACGAAAGCGUGGGGAGCGAAUGGGAUUAGAUACCCCAGUAGUCCACGCCGUAAACGAUGGAUGCUAAGUAUUGGAAGUAUCGACCCUUUCAGUGCUGUUAAUUUAAGGUAACCCGUUAAGCAUCCCGCCUGGGGAGUACGAGCGCAAGCUUAAAACUCAAAGGAAUAGACGGGGACCCGCACAAGCGGUGGAGCAUGUGGUUUAAUUCGACGAUAAACGAAGAACCUCACCAAGGUUUGACAUCUAGCUGCAUGUCCUGGAAACAGGAAGGCCUUCGAGGGUGCUAGACAGAUGCUGCAUGGUUGCCGUCAGUUCGUGUCGUGAGAUGUACCGUUAAGUCGGAAAACGAACGCAACCCUUAUCUCAUGUUUUAUAUGUCAUGAGAGACUGCCCGUUUUAAAUGGGAGGAAGGUGGGGAUGACGUCAAAUCAGCAUGGUUCUUACGCCUUGGGCUACACACGUGCUACAAUGGUAAAUACAAAGGGACGCCAAACCGCGAGGUGGAGCAAAUCCCUAAAAAUUUAUCUCAGUUCGGAUUGAAGUCUGCAACUGACUUCAUGAAGUUGGAAUCGCUAGUAAUCGUAGGUCAGCUAUACUACGGUGAAUACGUUCUCGGGUCUUGUACUCACCGCCCGUCAAGUCAAGGGAGUUGGCAGUACCCGAAGUCCCCUUUUAGGGGCCGAAGGUAAGGCUGGCGACAAGGACUAAGUCGUAACAAGGCAUCCGUAGCGGAAGCUGUGGAUGGAUCACCUCCUUUCUAGGGA
rnacentral:rRNA from 1 species